GGAGCUGGUGAUUGGCUCUCCCCGAGCCGCGAGGGGGGCCGUGCCUGCCCCCCCCCCGCGGGGCGCGUUGCUUGCAGGCGUCAGCGUGCACCUCCCGCGCGGCGCUGCCCCCCGGACCGUCAUCGUCCUGUGUGUACGACAGCUUCAGCCGUUGUGUGAUGUAUGUUUAAUAAUAACAAAAGCGUCCAAACUGUACGACUACUUUUUGAGGCAGCACGUGCAAAAUCCAGUCACUCUGGGCAGUCUCAACUGACCUUCGGGCAUGCUGUCAGCACUUUCCUAUGGCUGCUUGCCUCCAAGCGAAGAAAUGCUUCAAGUUUGAUGGCCCGUUUCUCACUCAGUCACUGGCCUGUUACACUGAGCAAUGGCUACAUACAGUUGUCCACGGGAAAACACUGGUUCUGGUAAGCAGUGGCCAACAGAAUCAAACGUUUGUCCUUGUGAUUUAUUAAUCAUUAUUGCAAACGCUCUUAUUACGGGAAAUUGUCUCCUUUUCAGAAUGAAAGGUAGUUGUGUGUCCAAUGGAGCUGAGGAAUGAUGAUGCAAUGUCCUACAUUAGUACCUGUAAUUAUUUCAGCAUCUAUGAAAUUGUGGUGUAAUCCUCUUAUUAUCAGUUGAGUUCCAUUGCACAGUCCCAUUUUUGGAUUCAUAUUUCUGAGUAACAUAACAAUAGCACUAGUUUCCAAUUGCAAUUCAUGUGAUGGGAGUCCUGAUGGUGUUUGUGCAUUUAAAAAUUCAAUGGGAUAAAUAGUUUGAUUUUCAGAAUCAUCCAUGAUCAUAGAAUCUGUUCUGCGGUACAUUUUCAUUUCACCAGGCAGCAAAGCUAUAAUUUUAGUAUUCAAUUCCAUGGCGUGUUUAUUUUUGGGAGUUACAAUAAUUUUCUUUGAAAGGGACUCUAAGUCUUCUACUUCAAUGUGGUUCUCAUAAACUGCUGUGACAAUGGACUCCAUUUCAAUAAAGGUUUCUGGUAUUUCAAUUACAUCUGGUGGCAAUCUAUAAUCAUUUGACAUAGUUCCUUCACCAACUUUGAGAGUCCAUUCAUUGAAUGAUGUUGCCCUUCAGUGCACGUUUUGUGAUAAUUUGAUUUUGGUGAAAUUUGACCACAGAUUACUUUUUAUGCAUGCCUCAAUCAUUUCUGUUCUUGUAGAUCGUGCUAUGACUAGUAAUGUUUGUCUGAAGUCUCCACCUAACAAAAGCAGUUUCACUUUGAAUGGCAUUUCAUUUUGCAUAAUCUCUCUGAGCAAUAAAUCAAUGCAUCUAAGUGCAUGAGUGUGCAUCAUAGUGGCUUCGUCAAUUAUAAUUAACAUGGCCUUUUUUCAUUGUGGCAGCUUCGGUGAAUGUAAGUUUAUACGUGAAGUAGAUGUUUCAAAUAUUGGGACGGGUAAUUGGAAGCCAAUGUGUAUUGUUCUUCCUCCUUUUAAAAGAUGAGCAGUUAUUCCUGUUGUUGCAAAAGGGAGAACAAUUUGUCCGGUUCCUUUAAUAUAAACUAUUAAAGUGUAAAACAUUCAAGUGUUAUACAAGUAAGUUUUCCCAAAUCCUCCAGGUCCAUGCAAAUAAAAGCAAUGAUUUGCACUGUCUCCAUUUAUAGCAGUAACAAUUUGAUCAAAGGCGUAUUUCUGUUUGUGCAUUGAGGUUUCUAAUUCAUUGUUCUGCCUUUAUGACAUUCGGCAAUGUCAUAAAGGAUGUCAUUACUUUGUUCAACAAUGAUGCCUGGAUCAGGGAGACCAAAAAAACUACAGUUUAAUCCAUGGACUAUCAACAAUUGUAUAUCCAGCAAUGCCUUUUAUACUGCCACAUUAUCAUUGUGAUGUCUCCUAUGGUUCUUUGUCAUGACAUCCCUAAAUUGUUCUUAUAGCUGAAAUGCAUUAGAUGGCUUACAAAAUAUGCAAAUGAAUCCAAAUGUGUUCCUAAACUGUCUGGGCAUUUGAAAUCCAGCUGCUUCCUCCAGCCACUGGCUCCAUUCUUCUUCACUGGCCAGAAAAUUUUGUCUUUUUGCUGUUUCUUGAAAUGUAUCACAGAAGACAUUGUUAAUGGUACGUAAAUCUUCAAAACUGGUUGCUUCACGGACAUGCAAUAGUAGAACUCUUUCUUUAUUGCAGAAACAGAAUCUUUCUAUAUCAUUUGGACACACUGAAUACAUCCUCUUUGUCUUCUUUACCAAACACCUUUUUGAAAUACAUAAAGGUAUGGAAUUUCUCAGUAUAAAUACAGUUGUACUUCAGGACAAUUGCGAUUUAGUGAAAACCAAGCAUUUAAAGUUGUUUUUGAAAUGUCUGCAUGAUUAAUGGCCUUACAUUCACGCCCUGGUUGAAAAUAUACUGACUGUUGGAAUGGCAAAUAAACUGCUAAACUAAUGAUUCCAUGAGAUCUAUCAUGCAUACAGUUUUCCAGCAGUCUCCACGUAACCUCUGGUGGUGUCACAUACCUUGAAUCAUGGUAAUUGGUCAUCUCGUCAUGUUGUAGUCAUUGAUUAUUUACUAUUUUAAUACUGGUGCAGUCAUAUCCUUUGUAAAUGUUGACAUUGGCUACUGUUUUUUGUUGAAAUGGCUUUGGAAAAUUUUUGUUACAAUUUCCCUCACUCAUGCAUGGUGAAUUACUGUUGAAAGUACCACAUGGACCAUGUAUCAUGUAUUUUUUUACCAUGUCCUAUAAAAUUGGGUCUGUGUCUGGAUUGGGAAUUUUGGCACUAACUGUACGAUCGGUGGCUGCUUGUAUGUCAAGCUUGUUCUCCAAUAUAAUCAGCAUGUGCACAUGCGGGAGUCCUCUUUUUUUGAAACUUAGUUGUGUACACAUGAGCAAUAACUGGACCAAACAGUUUUUAUUUUUUUUAUAACAUCAUUCACUAAAGAUGCCAGCUUAAUUUUGAAUCCUCUUGCUACUAAAUCUGGUCUGUCUGAAGGUUUUUGUCCAGGAAAUGCAUUUUCUUGAAUAGCAGGCCUUUUUGAUUUCAGUGAACGUAAUAAACAGAUUUGGGUGUCCAUAUUUGCUCACUAUUGCCAUGGUGCCGUGAUAUCCUUCUUGCACAUUUCUUGGUCCUCCUUGGAAUGAUGACGGUAAAAUGACAGUUUUUCCUACUUGCUUACCGGAGGUUAAAGCAGUUUCUGUUAAGAAGUCCAUAAGACCAUUGUAUUGUGCUACUCUUAGGUUUUCCUUGUUGUUGCCUAAGGUAACUUAAAUUGUUUGCCUCAGCUUGUAAAUGUGAAUCUACAAUCCAUUGUUGAGUCAAUUUUCCUCCAUGUAAAAUUGAAUUAAAUUCAUUUUGAAAAACU